rnacentral:tRNA from 1 species
GGAGAUAUAGCUCAGUGGCAUAAGCACCUGCCUGGCAAGCAUGAAGUCUGAGUUCAAUCCUCGGUACCG